UGGGGAAUUUUGGACAAUGGGCGCAAGCCUGAUCCAGCCAUGCCGCGUGCGGGAAGAAGGCCUUCGGGUUGUAAACCGCUUUUGUCAGGGAAGAAAUCUUCUGAGUUAAUACCUCGGGAGGAUGACGGUACCUGAAGAAUAAGCACCGGCUAACUACGUGCCAGCAGCCGCGGUAAUACGUAGGGUGCAAGCGUUAAUCGGAAUUACUGGGCGUAAAGCGUGCGCAGGCGGUUUUGUAAGACAGAGGUGAAAUCCCCGGGCUCAACCUGGGAACUGCCUUUGUGACUGCAAGGCUUGAGUGCGGCAGAGGGGGAUGGAAUUCCGCGUGUAGCAGUGAAAUGCGUAGAUAUGCGGAGGAACACCGAUGGCGAGGGCAAUCCCCUGGGCCUGCACUGACGCUCAUGCACGAAAGCGUGGGGAGCAAACAGGAUUAGAUAGCCCUGGUAGUCCACGCCCUAAACGAUGUCAACUGGUUGUUGGGAAGGUUCCUUCUCAGUAACGUAGCUAACGCGUGAAGUUGACCGCCUGGGGAGUACGGCCGC
rnacentral:rRNA from 1 species